rnacentral:rRNA from 1 species
UACAGAGGGUGCGAGCGUUAAUCGGAAUUACUGGGCGUAAAGGGUGCGUAGGUGGUUUUGUAAGUAACAUGUGAAAGUCCUGAGCUUAACUUGGGGAUUGCGUGUUAAACUGCAGAGCUAGAGUGUUGUAGAGGGUGGCGGAAUUUCCGGUGUAGCGGUGAAAUGCGUAGAUAUCGUCAAGAACACCUAUAGCGAAGGCAGCUUACUAGGCUGUAACUGACGCUGAGGCACGAAAGUGUGGGGAUCAAACAGG